GUUUUAAAGUUUUAAUUUUAGAUUGUCCCUGCUCAAUGAUGUUUUUAAAUAGCUGCAGUAAAUUGACUGUACUAAGGUAGCAUAAUAAUUAGUUUAUUAAUUGUAAACUUGAAUGAAUGGGUUGAUAGGGGGAAGCUGUCUUUAUUUAAUUAGUUUUGAAUUUGACUUUAGAGUUAAAAGGCUUUAAUUAUUUUGAGGGACGAUAAGACCCUAUAGAACUUUAUUUUUGGAUGGAUAUUAAAUUUUUUUAUUGGUUUAGUUGGGGUGAUUGGGAUAUUAAUUUAACUUUCUUUUUUUUUUACUUUUAUUUUAGGUUGUUUUUGUUUAGAUUUUUUUGAUAAGAAAAGUUACCUUAGGGUUAACAGCAUAAUUUUUUUGGAGAGUUCUAAUCGAUAAAGGAGAUUGUGACCUCGAUGUUGAAUUAAAAUUUAUUUAUGGUGAAGAAUUUAUUUAAUUGAGUCUGUUCGACUUUUGAAAUUCUACA
rnacentral:rRNA from 1 species